GCCCUCAUCGUCUAACGGUCAGGACACCACUCUUUCAAGGUGGAGAUCGGGGUUCGAUUCCCCGUGAGGGUA
rnacentral:tRNA from 2 species